rnacentral:piRNA from 1 species
UCCCAACCUGGAGAUUUCUCUAUGCCCU